GCGGCUAUGGUUUAGUGGUAGAACGCGUCCUUGCCAAGGACGAGACGGGGUUUCGAUUACCCCUAGCCGCA
rnacentral:tRNA from 1 species